AUUAUUUUCAACCAACAACGAAACGUAUUGAUGAUUCAAAGUAUUCCGACCCUCUACAGAAUAAGCUUUCAGUCGCAACACCUAUAGACCGUCCAACACCCAGGUUUUCCUCGACUCAGCCUCCUUGAACACCCGGGCAAAUCACGCUACAAAUCCUUCCAACGCCACCUGUGCUUGAAGACCACAAAAAGAACACCUUUCGGCGUCGCCUUCAUCAGCAACAUUAGAUCCUCAGCCUGUCUCAAACUCUUCAAAAUAAAGAUCUCCAUGCCGAUAGAUUCUGAGAUGCGGAACUCCACCUGGCUUGGUUUAGGAAUUUCAUCGAACGUUUGGUGUUUCACAAGGAUAACGGCAUUCUUGAUUUUCUCUGUGAUCUCUACCUUCUCAAAACCUAGAUGUAGCUUCUUAAACUUUAUGGACUCGAUCACAGGAAAUGGAGCUAAAACCGCCGCAUCAUACUCAGGAGUCGGAUGUACCUUCUUCAACUCCAUUGACUCGAUCCUGGAUACGGAUCUAAAGUCUCAUCGUUGCGGACGCCGUUCUGGCUAAUAUCCUUGAAGAUUUCUAUUGUUUGAUCAUCGUUGCUUCCAAGGGAAGAGUACAACAGCAAGUAUGCUGGCUUAUGUUUUAAAAGCAAUGGACGAUGAUCUUACAGCUGUAGUUGGAGCAUAUGUGCCACAGGUAUCAUUUUUCCAGAAGGAAAUAUUAUCUCAGGUUGUGGUCAAAAUUUUGUGCUGGAGGCUGAUGAAUAUGGUGGUUGUUUUUUGGGAUUAUCAACUUACAUAGCUGAUUAGCUGUGGUUACUAAUCUGGAUUGGGAGCACGUUGAUACCUUUCAAGAUGAGGAGGUUGUUAAAUCUACUUUCAGGAGGUUCCUGAAACUAAUCAAGAUGGGUGGACAUCUAAAAUAUCUGGAGACAGGCGUUUUGAGAUGGUUGGUACAAUUUAUGGAUGCCAUAUAUAUGAUGAUUAUGCACACCAUCCAACAGAAAUUCGUGCACUUCUUCAAGCAGCACGUCAAAGGUUCCCAUUUAAGGCUCUUUUAGUCGUAUUUCAACCUCAUACUUACAGUCGUCUAGCAGCAUUGAAAGAUGGAUUUGCCAUUGCACUCAGUGAUCCAGAUCAAGUUGUGGUUACAGCGAUACAUGCAUCUAAGUCCCUUAUCUUUGUUGUUUACAAAUAUUAGGGCAACUAACAUUUUUAUUUACGGUCAAGUUUAUCCUGCCAGAGAGACAAAUGUUUUGAAUGUGAUAUUACUACUGUAGGCCCCAAAGUGUUCCACAAAUUGCAACAGAAAUCACUAGCAAACUUGUAAGGUUCCAUGUGGCAGCUGCUUGUGCAUACUUGAAUAUGAGAAUUUCAGACCUUUGAUGGCUCAAGAUCACCAAAAAGAGAUUCCCAGGAUGAGGAUGAACAUAUCAGUAAUUUAUUGUUCGAUGCCAGCUUCUUUGAGUUAUUACUGACCACCUUGUACUUUGGCAAGAAACAACUCUCCUUUUACGACUACGACAAUAGUAUGGGAAGAUGAAAUCGAUUGCAGGCAAAUUACCCAACUGGUAAUGAGAGUUUCUUCUGUGGAUUUGGAUGGAGGUGAAACUAUUGAAGAAGAAAGUUCAUGACAUAGACUAUGACUGCUAAGUGCCUACCAUGUAAUGAAUUUGCAUUUCCAAUGUUGCAUUAUUUAUUAUGUUCCAAUUUAGAGGAAAAACAGAAAUGCUUUGUUGCAUUUAAUAACAAUUUACUUGACUCUUAUGUACAUACAUGCAAGAACUAGUUUGAUGAAAUGAAGAAUCAA